rnacentral:rRNA from 1 species
UACAGAGGUCUCAAGCGUUGUUCGGAUUCAUUGGGCGUAAAGAGCUCGUAGGCGGUUUGUCACGUCUGCUGUGAAAUCCCGAGGCUCAACCUCGGGCCUGCAGUGGGUACGGGCAGACUGGAGUGCGGUAGGGGAGAAUGGAAUUCCUGGUGUAGCGGUGGAAUGCGCAGAUAUCAGGAGGAACACCGAUGGCGAAGGCAGUUCUCUGGGCCGUAACUGACGCUGAGGAGCGAAAGCGUGGGGAGCGAACAGG